GUAGGCCCGACUCUCUCCAUUGCUCAUUCUGUCUCUGCUCUUUCCAUUAUCUUAUUUCUGUGAACAAUUGCUUAGCACUCGAACAGAAUAGCCCAGCGAUAAAACGCUGAGUGACGAUUGGGUGGCAGCCACCUCUGAGUGCGGUCCAGCCCUGUGCCAUUGGAGGCGAAUCUUCAGGUUGCUGGAUUUGAAACUUACACAAACACUCACUGUAUUAUUGCAGAAGAGAGAGAGAAUGGAGAGAGAAAGGAAGAGGAAGAGGACAAGAAGAGGAAAGAGAGGAGGAAAGGAAGAGAUCCAAGCUCUAUGCCCCCCCAAAACUGAACCCAUGGACUGCUUCAUGUGGGCUCACUUGCCCUCUGCUUCUGGCUGAUUUGGCAAUGGAGACAUACAGAGGAGAUCAGAAGGUGGGAGGAGAGAAAGAGAACUGCUCUUGACUAGGCCCUGGAUGACUCCAGCCAAAGCUCCGGAAAUUAUCCCUGUCUCAAGAAGUAUCUACUCCAAGAAGAAAACAAGAAGAGACCCAAAUUGUGUGAGACAUAAAUACAAGGCAGAGCUCACUCAGGCAGGACCUGGCCCAGCUCAGGUGUUCACAUGAGGGGCACUUUGCAAGCAUAAAGGGGAUUGACAAAGUGACAUUUUUAUUCAUGUGCACCUAACAAGACGGAAACCAGAGGAAGCAGAAUGAGAAGUGUGGUUAGGCACCAACUUUCUUCAUGUUUAUCAGGGGCCGAAGAGGUGGAUGGGAAAGAAAGGAUCGAUGCAUCAGAGCACAGGAUUAAUGCAACGUAUUAAGUGCAACCCUGUAAUCUAAGUGCAGCCCUAUCUGCCUCUCCAGUAACAGCAACCACACACAUUUCCUAGGAGCCAGGAACAGUAACAGCACACAAAAAUUCCAACCAGGAUUAAACUGGAGGUGAAGUCACUGCUGCCCCAUGAUGCCUCACUUCUGAGCUGUCACUGCACACCUCUUUACUGACUCCAACAUGCCAAUUAAAAAGCCUGGCUUGCAGCGGGACAAUAGGCUAGAACGUGGGUUUCAUUCUUUUCCAUCUGAACAAAAGCAAUGUCUUUGCUCCUCGAGCUCCAGGGACUGUGAGGCAGGGGAGCCCUUUUGAAUGGUCCCUGCCACCACACACUUCCCAACUAUCGACACCGGCUAGAUAGGUAACAAAAGGGGAGUCAAAGGUAAUGAAUCAGAAUUUGCAGAGUUUAGCUGCUAUGGGUGUGGGAGGGCCCCCAGAGAACGGCCAACGGACCCGAUCCAUUUGUAUCACUUGUUAACCAAAAUUGUCAGUGACUUUGGAACAAUUAUUGCCUUCCUGAAACCAAAACCUGCACAGCACAAUAACUCUUGAGCCUCCCUUCUCUGCAUUAAUAAUCAUGUUCAUGGUGCUUUACUUAGCAGGUUACAAUGUUGGCUUACUCUCAGGCUCUCUGCAGUGAACAAAUUAAAGAGGCUUGCUCUGUUCCAUGAAAAUACUCCAGCUCAGCCUAUUCAUUUUCCUAAAUGCUUCUCCACUUCAAAUUGGCAUUCCAGCCAUGUGGCAUAUAUUUUUUAAAAGCCAUCGCAUGGGUCAAUAAUGUUAAACCCUUACCCAUGACAAUAAUUUACUCUCAUCGACUGUGUACAUACACAGAGAAGAAAUACACACAUAGUGUGUGUGCUCAUACUCUGAUCCCUUUGGUGUCUCUCAGCAUUGUGGACUCUCUCUUCCUAUUGUGUUUCAGUCUUUUUUUUAACUGGCGGUCUCUUUCUCCUGCAAAGAGAGAUUACAAAUACAAUCCUAGAAUUGUAAAUAGAACGGUGGCUGCCUUUUGUUCGGCUUCCUGUCCAAGUUGUUACAACCUUUGUCAUGGUAAUGAGCCAUCAGAAUUUCAUAGCCUGAAUACCCUCUCCACUCUUCCAGUUUAUUGUGUGCCUAAAUUUGGAUGAGUUUAUGGUCUCCGUCAGUGCUGCCCGUGGAUAAAGACAGCUGGAAAAGUUGACCCGCUUUAAGACGACCAAAGGUUCUUCAUGGAAGUAAAAGGUUUACUGGCAACACAGGAA
rnacentral:lncRNA from 10 species